GUCCUUGUCUAUUUAGUCUCUCCUCUCUUGACUUCCUCCAUCCACUGUGCCACAGUCUUCCCAGAAGCCUUUGCACAAAACUGGUUUAGCUUAAAGACCUUUAACUUUGUCUGAGCCAUGAUUCCGGGGCUGCCCAGGACUAUGUCUCGGAUCCUCCUGUAAUCCCUUAGGAUGGCAGCCCAUUGGUUUACCCGGACCCCGGCGAUGGUCUGACCGGCAGGGUAAAUUCAGCAGAGAGCCAGGCAGAUGGCUUCCACUACUCGGCUUGUGCUGGGCCACUGAGCUGGUCCACCUUCACCAAGGAAGCAUCUGCAAAGUGAAAAAGGAGGAAAGUACAGUUAAUCAGACUAUUUGACAGAUAGCGGUCAAACAAGUGGAUAACAUUGGUAACGAGACUGGUUAUGAUUAUAGCCAAGAUACAUAGAUGAGAGGGCCCUUGUCAUGAUCUGACAGGUUGUUCCACAGCACGACAAUCUCAUCCACCUUACUCUGAGUGACAAACCCCUGAUGGGGCAGGUCAACCAGACUGUCGGCUAGCCUAAUGACGUGGUCAUAACCAGCUUGGCCAUCUGGUCCCACACUCUUCAUCUGUACAUGAAAAGAAAUUAAUAAACUGCUCUGUUAUCAAUGUCAAAUAAACUUACCAAAAUUAAAGGAUUUUUUCAGUCAGUCAGCCAUUCAUUAUUACAAAAUAAACCCCAAAUGAAAUAUCAACAUCAUCACAAACACACCAUAAAAUCUCAGUGUACACAGUGUGUUUAUGGGUAUUCAUUUACCUGGCUCUGAGUGGCCAAGACAGGAGAGGAAGACUCUGCUGCUGAUGAUGAGGGCUGACCAGGAGGUUGUAGGGCCACUGUCUGUUCCUGAGGGGGCUGCAGGUCAUUGCCCUCGAGUUCCAAAAAUUCAAUGGGCUCAUCAAGGCACAGAUCCUCAAACCCCUCAUCACCCUCCAGAUCACCCUGCAGGUCUUCAUCCUGAAUUCCAUCUGGAAUAUCAGGAUCUACACCUAAGUCUUCCUCAAACGCUCUGCUGGUUUGGGAAUACAAAUAUUCCACACCAAAGAGCUCUCCUGUAGAAAUACAGAGUGUAUCACGUAGAUGUUUUAAUAACACAUGGGUG
ensembl:lncRNA